ACUCCUACGGGAGGCAGCAGUGGGGAAUAUUGCACAAUGGGCGCAAGCCUGAUGCAGCCAUGCCGCGUGUAUGAAGAAGGCCUUCGGGUUGUAAAGUACUUUCAGCAGUGAGGAAGGUGGGUAUGUUAAUAGCAUACUCAUUUGACGUUAGCUGCAGAAGAAGCACCGGCUAACUCCGUGCCAGCAGCCGCGGUAAUACGGAGGGUGCGAGCGUUAAUCGGAAUUACUGGGCGUAAAGCGCAUGCAGGUGGUUUGUUAAGUCAGAUGUGAAAGCCCGGGGCUCAACCUCGGAAUUGCAUUUGAAACUGGCAAACUAGAGUACUGUAGAGGGGGGUAGAAUUUCAGGUGUAGCGGUGAAAUGCGUAGAGAUCUGAAGGAAUACCGGUGGCGAAGGCGGCCCCCUGGACAGAUACUGACACUCAGAUGCGAAAGCGUGGGGAGCAAACAGGAUUAGAUACCCGGGUAGGC
rnacentral:rRNA from 1 species